GUGGGAGGGGGCUUGCCCCCGAUUACGGUGGGUCAGCCAGUAAAUUUGGUGCUGAUACGCCGCUAUCGGGGGCAAGCCCCCUCCCAC
rnacentral:misc_RNA from 1 species